rnacentral:rRNA from 1 species
GACGAACGCUGGCGGCGUGCUUAACACAUGCAAGUCGAACGGAAAGGCCCUGCUUUUGUGGGUUUCUCGUUUGGCGCACGGGUGAGUAACACGUGAGUAACCUGCCCUUGUCUUUCUGAUAUCUUCAGGAAACUGGGGCUCUUACCGGAUAGAAGCUCCUGCUGCAUGUUGGGGGUUGGAGAGUUUCGGCUGUUGUGGAUGGACUCGCGGCUUAUCCGCUUGUUUGUGUGGUAGUGGCUUACGAAGGGUUUGACGGGUAGCCUGCCUGAGAGGGUUGACGGGGACAAUGGGACUGAGAGACGGAGCAGAAGCGUACGGGAGGCAGCAGUGGGGAAUAUGGCACAAUGGGCGGAAGUGUGAGGCAGCAACGCCGCGUGCGGGAUGACGGGCUUCGGGGUGUAAACAGCUGUCGCCGGUGACGAAGAGGGAGUGACGGUAAUGGGUAAAGAAGCACCGGCUAACUACGUG